GGACCGGCUGUGAAGAACCAGGAGGGAGCGGGAGGGAGAGCAGAGCAGUUGUUAACAGCUUCCCUGGUAUGACCAGCUGGAUUCGGAGAAGCACAACAAAGUUGUAAAGUUCAGCAAAGAAGAUCUGAGGGCUUCACACAGGGACUUCACAUCAGAACUCUUCCAAACAACUGUUUUCUUGGACAUUUCCCAGAGCUUGAAAAAAAGGAAGAAGCAACAGCAGCCUAAGAUGGAUGUGGAGGUGCAUGGGGUUUGGGGGACCCCAAUGGAUGAGGACAUGAUGCUAGGAAGCAGGCUUUUGACAUAUAUUGACCCUCAAGCUCUGGAGUGAGGAAUGCAUGCUUGCAAGGGGGAAAAUAUAUUUCUUCUUAUCCUAUCAAAACACAAAACCACCAGCUGUAAAAAGAGGAGAGUCCACACGGAAGGUAGUACUGUCCCUGGUCACUACCCAAGACAAAUAUGAAACAUCACAUGAGGAAGAAGUGAUUUCUUUGCGCCAGAACUUCAAGAUAAAACAUCAAAGCAUUAAAACCACAGGACCUAGACAACCUGGAGGAAACAGAAGGCAGAGAUGUACCGGGGUGAUUAUAAUCAAAUGAGCAAAGCCUUUGGCUUGAAGUUCCCUGAUACAGCUCCAAAAUAGCAGAUAAGCACCUUUUAAAGGAACAAGG
rnacentral:lncRNA from 1 species